CUUGGGCAAGGAACUGAGGAAGGAGCAGGAAGGGAGAUGGAUACCAAGCCAGGAAAGGAGUAGAGGCCACACCUGAGAGGGUCCCAUCAUACUUGGCUUGUUGCAUGGUUGCUGGGGAUCAAACUCAGAUCUUCAUGCUUAUUCAGCAAGAAUGCUGCUGCCUGAGAUGUCUCCUCAGCCCUUCCUGAGAAUGCUGCUGCCUGAGAUGUCUCCUCAGCCCUUCCUGAGAAUGCUGCUGCCUGAGAUGUCUCCUCAGCCCUUCCUGUCCAUAUUUUGAUCUCAAGACCUCUGUCCUCCAGAAUCAAGAGACAAUGAUUGCUGUUGUUGAACGUACUCAGUCUUCAAGGCUUCCUGACUGACCAGUACAAAUGCCACAGUGCUCAGUGUGGUGACACAUGGCUUUAAUUCCAGUACUCAGAAGGCUAAGAUAAGACACCUGAGUUGAGAGCUGGCCUAAGCUACAAAAAAGGAACGGAACCAGAAAAGGGGAUAACAUUUGAAAUGUGAAUAAAGUAUCUAAUUAAAAAAAAAAAAAAAAAAAGAAAAAGAAAAAGAAAAUGGCACUAAAAAAAAAAUCAUUACUUAUUCAUGCAAUACCUGUGGAGGCCAGAAGAGGGCAUCAAAUCCCCUGGAACCACAGUUCCAGGUGGUUUGAAUGACAUGAUGUUGGUGUUAGGCACCAAUUCUCUGUAUGAAUAAUAAGUGACCUUAACCUCUGAGCUAUUUAUCCAGCCCCUAUUGGUUAAUUUUUGUUUAUCGAGACAAGGUCUUGCUUUGUAGCCUUGGCUGGCCUGGAACCCACUUUGUAGGACAGUCUGGCCUCAAACCCAUCUGCUUGCCUCUUGUCUAUGCUUCCUGAGUGCCUCACCAUACCUGGCUCCAGACUCUAUUAAAAAAUGUCUUAGCACUUCA